rnacentral:rRNA from 1 species
CGAGAAAGCCCGCAAGGGUGAGUAAAGCGGCGCACGGGUGCGUAACACGUGGGUAAUCUUCCUUGGAGCCCGGAAUAACUCCCCGAAAGGGGUGCUAAUACCGGAUGAGACCACGGGAUCUUCGGAUCCUGAGGGAAAAGGCGGCCUCUGUGCACAAGCUGUCACUCCAAGAUGAGCCCGCGGCCCAUCAGCUUGUUGGCGGGGUAAUGGCCCACCAAGGCUACGACGGGUAGCUGGUCUGAGAGGACGAUCAGCCACACUGGAACUGAGACACGGUCCAGACUCCUACGGGAGGCAGCAGUGGGGAAUCUUGCGCAAUGGGCGAAAGCCUGACGCAGCAACGCCGCGUGUGUGAUGAAGGUCUUCGGAUCGUAAAGCACUGUCGCGAGGGACG